AUGGCGAGCAGUAUCCAGAGGGCGUCGUUCCUGCUCCAGGUCGUCCGGAGCUCGUCCCGCUCCCGCAAGAGGGAGGGCGUCUUCUCCGAGGCCGCGCCGUGGCAGCAGCCUAUCUCCGGCUCCGGCAGGGCGCCCCAGCCGCGGCCGCCGGCGAAGCUGGACACCAUCGUCGAGGAAGAUUACAACUCAACCCUCAUGACACACGACGCCGGCUUCCAGGGCGGGGUUUCGUCGGCGGCAGCGUCAACGUCGGCUUCAGCGCCGUCAUCCUCGUCCAUGGCCGCGGCCGGGGUCCCCAGAGCCUACCGUUUCGCCGCGCCGGCGCCGCAGACGCGUUGUUGA
rnacentral:rRNA from 1 species